UGGGGAAUCUUGCACAAUGGGGGAAACCCUGAUGCAGCGACGCCGCGUGAGCGAUGAAGGUUUUCGAAUCGUAAAGCUCUGUCCUAUGGGAAGAUAAUGACGGUACCAUAGGAGGAAGCCCCGGCUAACUACGUGCCAGCAGCCGCGGUAAUACGCAGGGGGCGAGCGUUGUCCGGAAUUACUGGGCGUAAAGGGUUCGCAGGCGGCAUGACAAGUCCGAUGUAAAAGGCGAAAGCUCAACUUUCGUAAGCAUCGGAAACUGUCAAGCUUGAGUGAAGGAGGGGCAAGUGGAAUUCCUAGUGUAACGGUGGAAUGCGUAGAUAUUAAGAGGAAUACCGGUGGCGAAGGCGACUUGCUGGACUUCAACUGACGCUGAGGAACGAAAGCGUGGGUAGCAAACAGG
rnacentral:rRNA from 1 species